GACUCUUUGGCGCAGUGGUAGCGUUCUGCUUUCCGAUUCACGUCUGUUUGGCAGCGGUCCAGGGUUCGAUCCCCUGAUGAGUCU